GGCUGCCCAAGCCAGCCAGCGGCAGCUUGCUGGGGUCUCCUAUAGUGUGGGAGGUUUGUUCUUUUGCUCUUUGCAGUAAGUGUUGCAGCUGCUUGCUCUUUGGGUCCACAGCCUGUAAGAGCUGUGAGACUGAGCAUGAAAGUCUGCAGCUUCACUCCUGAAGCCAGCGAGACCACGAACCCAUUGGGAAGAACGGACAGCUCCAGAUGCGCUGCCUUUAAGAGCUGUAACACUCACAACGAAGGUCUCUAGCUUUGUUCCUGACAGCAAAACCAUGAACCCACCAGAAGGAAGAAGCUCCAGACACACCUGAACGUCUGAAGGAACAAACUCUGGAUACACCAUCAUUAAGAAGUGUAACACUUAACGGCGAGGGUCUGUGGCUUCUUUCUUGAAGUCAGUGAGACCAGGAACCCACCAAUUCUGGACACCCUACAACUAUUAUUUUGUAUGUCUCUACUCUAGAAUAAACCAAUCUGGAUUGAAUCCAAGGAUAUCCAGUGUGGCUGGAGCAGAGACGUCUACGGAGACAGAAGGUCACAGAAAGGAUUAUGAAAAGAAGGUUGGAAGAAACUUGGACUGUAUUUGGUAAUUAUGGAAUGCCCUGGUGCAUUAUAGAAUAGAAUAAUAGCGUAAUCAAAGUAGUGCUUUUAGGCCAGGAAAGAUAUGAGAAAUUGAAAGAGAAGAAAUCAUUUUUUAAGAAAUUGUAUAUGUAAUGAAUGAUGUCAGGAAAGCAUUACGAAUUGUUACCAGUAGUUGAGUAGUUAUCUCUUGAGCGAUAGAAUUAUCACUGCUUUGUGUUUAUCUGUGUUGUCUACUUUCAUUGAGAAUGCAUGACUUUGUGUUGCUUUGCUUUAAAGAAGUCCUAAGUUAGGUAAACAUUUAUUUUCUAAUUGAAAAAUUCAAACAAAUACAAAAGAAAAGAAUAAAAUGAACCCCAUACACCUGUCACCCAGAUUAAACAAUUACCAAGA